GCGGGCGAUCAUACCAGCUCUAAUGCCACGGAUCCCAUCAAAACUCCGCAGCUAAGCGUGCUUAGGCGAGAGUUGUACUAGGAUGGUUUGGUCGAAUUUGCAUUCA
rfam:Gossypium raimondii Chr06_contig_386, whole genome shotgun sequence.